UGGGGAAUAUUGCACAAUGGGCGCAAGCCUGAUGCAGCGACGCCGCGUGGGGGAUGACGGCCUUCGGGUUGUAAACCUCUUUCAGCAGGGACGAAGCGAAAGUGACGGUACCUGCAGAAGAAGCACCGGCCAACUACGUGCCAGCAGCCGCGGUAAUACGUAGGGUGCGAGCGUUGUCCGGAAUUACUGGGCGUAAAGAGCCCGUAGGUGGUUUGUCGCGUUGUUCGUGAAAACCGGGGGCUUAACCCUCGGCGUGCGGGCGAUACGGGCAGACUAGAGUACUGCAGGGGAGACUGGAAUUCCUGGUGUAGCGGUGGAAUGCGCAGAUAUCAGGAGGAACACCGGUGGCGAAGGCGGGUCUCUGGGCAGUAACUGACGCUGAGGAGCGAAAGCGUGGGGAGCGAACAGGAUUAGAUACCCUGGUAGUCCACGCCGUAAACGGUGGGUACUAGGUGUGGGUUUCCUUCCUUGGGAUCCGUGCCGUAGCUAACGCAUUAAGUACCCCGCCUGGGGAGUACGGCCGCAAGGCUAAAACUCAAAGGAA
rnacentral:rRNA from 1 species